AACGACUCUCGGCAACGGAUAUCUCGGCUCUCGCAUCGAUGAAGAACGUAGCGAAAUGCGAUACUUGGUGUGAAUUGCAGAAUCCCGCGAACCAUCGAGUCUUUGAACGCAAGUUGCGCCCGAAGCCAUCAGGCCGAGGGCACGUCUGCCUGGGCGUCACGC
rnacentral:rRNA from 3 species